rnacentral:rRNA from 1 species
UACGUAGGGUGCAAGCGUUGUCCGGAAUUAUUGGGCGUAAAGAGCUCGUAGGCGGUUUGUCGCGUCUGCUGUGAAAACUCGGGGCUUAACCCCGGGCCUGCAGUGGGUACGGGCAGACUAGAGUGCGGUAGGGGGAGACUGGAAUUCCUGGUGUAGCGGUGAAAUGCGCAGAUAUCAGGAGGAACACCGGUGGCGAAGGCGGGUCUCUGGGCCGACACUGACACUGAGAGACGAAAGCUAGGGGAGCGAAUGGG